rnacentral:rRNA from 1 species
UGGGGAAUUUUGGACAAUGGGGGAAACCCUGAUCCAGCCAUCCCGCGUGUGCGAUGAAGGCCUUCGGGUUGUAAAGCACUUUUUGCAGGAAAGAAACGUCAUGGGUUAAUACCCCGUGAAACUGACGGUACCUGCAGAAUAAGCACCGGCUAACUACGUGCCAGCAGCCGCGGUAAUACGUAGGGUGCAAGCGUUAAUCGGAAUUACUGGGCGUAAAGCGUGCGCAGGCGGUUCGGGAAGAAAGAUGUGAAAUCCCAGAGCUCAACUUUGGAACUGCAUUUUUAACUACCGGGCUAGAGUGUGUCAGAGGGAGGUGGAAUUCCGCGUGUAGCAGUGAAAUGCGUAGAUAUGCGGAGGAAAACCGAUGGCGAAGGCAGCCUCCUGGGAUAACACUGACGCUCAUGCACGAAAGCGUGGGGAGCAAACAGG